rnacentral:rRNA from 1 species
CCUANGGGCGGCAGCAGUGAGGAAUAUUGCGCAAUGGGGGAAACCCUGACGCAGCGACGCCGCGUGAGUGAUGAAGGCCUUCGGGUUGUAAAGCUCUGUCAGAGGGAGAGAAAGGGGUGUUGGAAUAAUACCCAACACCAUUGACGGUACCCUCGGAGGAAGCACCGGCUAACUACGUGCCAGCAGCCGCGGUAAUACGUAGGGUGCGAGCGUUAAUCGGAAUUACUGGGCGNAAAGCGUGCGCAGGCGGUUAUAUAAGACAGAUGUGAAAUCCCCGGGCUCAACCUGGGACCUGCAUUUGUGACUGUAUAGCUAGAGUACGGUAGAGGGGGAUGGAAUUCCGCGUGUAGCAGUGAAAUGCUUAGAUAUUACACAGAACACCGAUUGCGAAGGCAGCUUACUGGGCCAUUACUGACGCUGAUGCACGAAAGCGUGGGGAGCGAACAGGAUUAGAUACCCUGNUAGUC